rnacentral:rRNA from 1 species
GACGAACGCUGGCGGCGUGCUUAACACAUGCAAGUCGAACGGAAAGGCCCUGCAUUUGUGGGGUGCUCGAGUGGCGAACGGGUGAGUAACAAGUGAGUAACCUGCCCUUGACUUUGGGAUAACUUCAGGAAACUGGGGCUAAUACCGGAUAGGAGCUCCUGCUGCCUGGUGGGGGUUGGAAAGUUGCGGCGGUGGUGGCUGGACUCGCGGCUUAUCAGCUUGUUGGUGGGGUAGUGGCUUACCACGGCUUUGACGGGUAGGCGGCCUGAGAGGGUGACCGGCCACAUUGGGACUGAGAUACGGCCCAGACUCCUACGGGAGGCAGAAGUGGGGAAUAUUGCACAAUGGGCGGAAGCCUGAUGCAGCAACGCCGCGUGCGGGAUGACGGCCUUCGGGUUGUAAACCGCUUACGCCUGUGACGAAGCGUGAGUGACGGUAAUGGGUAAAGAAGCACCGGCUAACUACGUG